UACUAUAUUAAAAUAUUUAAAAUACAUGAUUGUGACCUUUUUAAAUUAUAAUAUCAUUUUAAUUUCAUGAAAUUCAUUUAUAUCAAGAAAAUGACACUUUCUUAAACUUUAUGGAUCUAUAAAAUGCUAAUUGUGGCAGAGAGAAGAUAAAUAACAUUCUUUUUGUAGAUCUUGUUUCAACUACAUAAUGAAGUGGUGAUUUUAAUUUGUCCAUGGAAUUUUUUUAAUCAAGGAAAUCACGGUCGAGGAAUUAUGAGAUAGAUUAUUCUUCCAUAACCUCUCUCUACCGUGUUUCCUUGAUUAACUAAAUUUUAUCGUUAAAAACGUAAUUUAGGAACAAGUUAUUAGUGGUUAUUUGUUUGGAGCUGAU
rnacentral:lncRNA from 1 species